rnacentral:lncRNA from 1 species
AACACACACACCCUAAACACACACACACACUAUCACACACUAUCACACACACUAUCACACUAUCACACACACACACUAUUACACUAUCACACACUAUCACACACACACACACUAUCACACACACACACUAUCACACUGUCACACACACAAUCACACUAUCACACACACACACUAUCACACACACACACUAUCACACUAUCACACACACACACUAUCACACUAUCACACACACACACUAUCACACUAUCACACACACACACUAUCACACACACACACUAUCACACACACACACUAUCGCACACACACACACUAUCACACACACACACACUCACACACACACACACACACACACACCGACACACACUAUCAUACACACACUAUCACAUACUAUCACACACACACACACACACACACACACACUAUCACACACACACACACACUAUCACACACACACACACACUAUCACACACACACUAUCAUACACACACACUAUUGCAUACUAUCACACACACACACACACUAUCACACACACUCACACACACUAUCACACUAUCACACACACUCACACACACACACACACACACACACUAUCACACACUAUCACACACACACACUAUCACACACACUAUCACACACACACUAUCACACACACACAAACACUAUCACACACACACACUAUCAUACACACACACUAUCACAUACUAUCACUCACACACACACACACACACACACACUAUCACACACACACACACACUAUCACACACAACAAGUUCACAGUCAGACAAACAAAAACACACACUAUCACACACACUACUGCAGUGCUGGGUAGAGAGGAACCAGGCUCUGAGGGGUGGUCAGUCCUCUACUGGCUGUACUGGGUAGAGAGGAACCAGGCUCUGAGGGGUGGGCAGGCCUCUACUGGCUGUACUGGGUAGGGAGGAACCAGGCUCUGAGGGGUGGUCAGUCCUCUACUGGCUGUACUGGGUAGACCAGAGGAACCAGGCUCUGAGGGGUGGUCAGUCCUCUACUGGCUGUACUGGGUAGACCAGAGGAACCAGGCUCUGAGGGGUGGUCAGUCCUCUACUGGCUGUACUGGGUAGACCAGAGGAACCAGGCUCUGAGGGGUGGUCAGUCCUCUACUGGCUGUACUGGGUAGACCAGAGGAACCAGGCUCUGAGGGGUGGUCAGUCCUCUACUGGCUGUACACACAUCUUGUUCCUGUAGUUCUGUUGUUAUGAUAGCACUAAGUAGCAACAGUAACAACAGCUGUGUGGUCACUCACUCCAUCUUCUCCCCUCCAUCUCCUCCCUCCUUCUCCUCCCCUCCUCCUCCCUCUCCUCCCCCCCUUCACUCCUCC